rnacentral:rRNA from 1 species
AGAGUUUGAUCCUGGCUCAGAACGAACGCUGGCGGCAUGCCUAACACAUGCAAGUCGAACGAGACCUUCGGGUCUAGUGGCGCACGGGUGCGUAACGCGUGGGAAUCUGCCCCUCGGUUCGGAACAACAGUUAGAAAUGACUGCUAAUACCGGAUAAUGACGAAAGUCCAAAGAUUUAUCGCCGAGGGAUGAGCCCGCGUAGGAUUAGCUUGUUGGUGGGGUAAUGGCCCACCAAGGCGACGAUCCUUAGCUGGUCUGAGAGGAUGAUCAGCCACACUGGGACUGAGACACGGCCCAGACUCCUACGGGAGGCAGCAGUGGGGAAUAUUGGACAAUGGGCGAAAGCCUGAUCCAGCAAUGCCGCGUGAGUGAUGAAGGCCUUAGGGUUGUAAAGCUCUUUUACCAGGGAUGAUAAUGACAGUACCUGGAGAAUAAGCUCCGGCUAACUCCGUG